rnacentral:misc_RNA from 1 species
AUUUUUUUGUGGUGCCUGUAUUCCCAAAAAGGGUUUCUCUAACAACACACUGCAACACAGAACGAAGGAAAGAUAGAUUUACAAUCCACACACAGCCCUCAACAAAGCUCUCCUCCCAGAGGGAUAAUAUUACUGUACCUCCUUAGCUUCAUAUCCCACAGACUACAUAAGCUUCACUAUCAUCUCUUUAAUCUUUUACUCUCUCCCUCCCUCCGUUUUUUCUAUCUUCUUCGAUCUCGCCUCCUAUCUUCUGCUAUGGAUCCAUUUGAUUUG